GGGCCAGUAAUUCAGCGGAUAGAAGUCGGUGUACCAAGCCGUUAGUCGGGGGUUCGAGUCCCCCCUGGCCCG
rnacentral:tRNA from 1 species